rnacentral:lncRNA from 1 species
UAAGCCAACAGGUUUGACUGGCAAUAUAAAUAAUGUUGUUCAUCGUUUAUAUUGUUUAUAACAUCGUCAGUUUUUAUAUGCAUUUAAUAUUUUUAAAAAUAGUUCAAAAGCUGUCAAAAUAAAAUGGUGAAUUGAGUUUAAACCAGAAAAGAUAUAAACGUAAUCUUUGGGAUUCAACUUGUAAGGAUGUUCCAAGAACCACUUAGUUGGAGAAGGAAAACUGUGCCGUUCAUUAACAAGUCCUGUGCUUUAUAAUAUAUUAAAAAAUGGAAGGACGUGAAGAAAACAGGUUUGUAAAUGAUGUUGUACAUCAUGCAGAUAGCUCAGAAGAAGAAGUAAGUUUUUUUUUUAAUUACAAAAGUAAAUAUAUAAUAUAAUAUUUGUUGCUGCCUUGUUCUAUAUAAAUGUUUCUAACAUGCAGGUAACAUUUAUAUAUGUAUUAGUUUGAAUAAAUCAUUUUAAUAAAGUUACAUUAUAGGCAGGAAUGUUUGGCUGGAAAUAUAAACGAUGUUGUACAUAAUGCAGAUAGCUUAGGCAAAAAAGAGAUUGGUGAAAUGGAGAAUGAGACUAACUAGGGUGAAAAAAAAAUGAAUAUUAAUAUGUGAAUGGUACUUUGUUUAACAUCUACCUGUUUCUACAGAUACAGUACAGACGCAUUUAUAAAUGGGCUUGAUGUUUUUUUGAAUUAAAUAUGUUGUAUUGA